rnacentral:misc_RNA from 1 species
GAUGAAGAACGUAGCGAUAUGCGAUACUUGGUGUGAAUUGCAGAAUCCCGUGAACCAUCGAGUCUUUGAACGCAAGUUGCGCCCGAAGCCAUUAGGCCGAGGGCACGCCUGCCUGGGCGUCACACGUCGUUGCCCCCCCAUCUACUCCUUCGGGAUUGCGGGGGGCGGAUGAUGGCCUCCCGUGCGCCUCGUCGCGCGGUUGGCAUAAAUGCCAAGUCCUCGGCGACGCACGCCACGACAAUCGGUGGUUGCGAAACCUCGGUUGCCCGUCGUGUGCGGUCGUCGCGCAUCGAGGGCUCGAAAAAAUUGCCGGGCUCCGGCUCGGCUUUCAACGCGACCCCAGGUCAGGCGGGGUUACCCGCUGAAUUUAAGCAUAUCAAUAAGCGGAGGA